rnacentral:lncRNA from 1 species
GUAAGUGGUUCCCCUGGCAACCAGCACAGCAACCGGUAACCAGGAAGGGCCCCUAGAGCCAGGAGGGACACGGACGCUGCUGGCCCUGGUGGCUCAGGUGCCGUUAGAGGGGCCUCUCCCGGCCUGUGGCUCCCUGCGGCCCCGCUCUGCUCGCCUCCUGUGCUCUGCGCCUGCUCUGCCCUGGGUCCAGCGAGCCUGCCGCCCCCUGGCUGGCGAUCCCAGUGGCCUGAGAGCGGGCAGGGUGUCGCCAGCUCCGGGUGUUUCCCUCGUGUGCGAGGAAACAUAUCCAGGACAAAGUGGACAAAGUGGGUCGCAGGAAGAAAGAGUGACAGGCCAGGGGGCCCUCUGGUAACAGGUGCAGGAGCAGGGAUUCCACGUCUUCCUUCCAUCCUGGUCCCUUUCCAUUCCGCCUCACCAUAGCGGAAAGGGUGGGGGGGUCUUCCCGGGGACCCCACCCUGGGUCAGUGGCAGGAGGAUGCGCCCACUGGGCUGGUGGCAGAGAUUCGGAAAUCCUGGGCAGGAAUGUAGCGCCUGAAUCUCCCUUUCGAGAGUCUAUUUCUUUUCUUUCCACAGCUUCUUCUACCCCGCCGCCCCCCCCCCCCACUAGGGAACUGAACCCAGGGCCUUUGCACGGGGCUGCAGCCCCAGGCUUUUUUGUGUCUUCAUUUUGAGAUGGGAGGGGUCUUACCAAGUCACCCAGGCUGGGAUCAAAUUUGUGAUCUUCCUGUCUCAGUCUCCCAGCGUGCUGGAAUCAUAGGUGUGGGCCAGCCACCACGUGUGGAUUAGUUUCCUUUUUAUUAAACAAAUAUUUGUUCUGCUCUAGUGUUCUCUGGAGACUGACUGUCCUUGGGGAAACCCCAGGACUCAGGAUGUGAGGUUCAGACUCAGGCUACUGGGCCCGAGGCAUCACCCGGAAGGGGGCAGUGGGAACCGGGCGCACGGGGGAGCUGAGAAGCCCCAGGGGCAGCGCCAGGCACCCCAGAGCCCAUUGCUCCCCGCCCCACUUAGCCGUGACGUCCCCUUAACCGUCAGCCCCACCCUCUUACCAGGCCUUGUAGUCAGGUAGUUUCCCCUGCUCAACAAAUCAUGGGCGCCACGGGCUGGAACGAGCCCUGAGCUAGGUCCCAACCAAAAUGGAGUCACUCGUGCUAAGUAAGCUCCCGGGCACCAAGCGAGGCCCAGGAGGUCCACAUGUGGAGAAGUCAGGAGCUCAGUGGCAGCCAGAUCCCAGGAAGGGCAGCGGCUUGGAACCGCCUUUUGCUCCCGCCGGCUGCUCCUCAGCCCUUUGCAACUGUGAAGCCGCGCUCUCAGCGGGUCUCGGGCUGUUGCAUACACUGGAUGCUGCCUGGUUCUUGCACUGCUACUGAAAGCGAAUGAGUUUCCCCGCGGGAUCCUGAGAUCAGCAGCACGGGACGACGGCGCCCCCUGGCGGCAGGUCGGAUCUCCGUAUGCUCUAGGCCUGGCCGGGCAGGCGGGCGGCGUGGGCCUCGCAGCGACGUGUUGGAAGGAACGCUGCUUCCAGGGUCAGGAGCCUGGGCGGGAAGCGCUAAGAUUGGUAGCUGUCAUCCCAGUACUCAGGAGGCCAAGGCAGGAGGAUGGAUGCAAAUUUAAGGCCAGUGCUAUGUAGCAGGUUCAAGGCCAGCCUGAACGACACAGCGAGACCCUGUUUCAAAACAAAAGCAAAAACAGAAACAGAUUUGGGACUGGCAGUUCCCAAGCCCUGGCCCUUCCUGUAGGAGGGGCUGGAGGAGGCUGGGAGGCUGGCGCAGGUGACCUGCUCCCCUGGGUCCUGCCUGUUCCUGCAGCAGAAGCGGUUCACAGGAUUCCCACACCGGAAGAGCCAACUUCAUCACCCCUACCUAGAAAGUUUGGUGGCUGCCACAUCCCAAGGGAGAAGGCCAGGGAGGAGAAAGUGACAGUGGCAGCCCCUCUAGCACACAGCUCCCAUGCCUAUGACCCUGCGGUCUGCACCUCUUCUGGCCUGACUUGCCGCCCCCCACCCCCACCCCAUGACCCCAGGAGGAGGCCUGGGGCCUGGCCCAGUGUGAGCAGGGCUGGGCCAGCUGGGCAGACAGAGGAGAGGAACUCAGGUUGGAGACACCAGGCCUGGAGAGACCUUCUGUUGCCCACUCGUGUCUCCCCACUGAUUAAACCUCUUCUCGGAGUGUUCAGGGGAACCCAAGAAAGGGAAGGAAAGACAAGGGGCCCAGCCCUGGCUGAGGACCGCCAUGCGGCAGGACAGCACGGGGACCCUGCAGGUCCGUGUGCCCUCAGGGCCCGCCAGCCGCUCCUGUGGGCUCUCGGGUGGGAGCAGGCAGCCGCAGGCAGGAUCGAGACAGCCCCUGCUGUCCUUCAUGUUCGUUUUGUGUUCAGGGAAACCCCAUGGCAUUCUGGUUCCUGUUUUGAUGGUUUUUAGAGCUUUUCUGAGGCACAGCUGAUACAGUCGCACUGCUUUUCAGUGUGGACCCUGGUGACUCAGUUCCCACACUCACAGGACUGAACUUAUGGAUCACCUCCAAGAAUUUCCCCGCAUAUGUGCGCGCGCAUGUGUGUGUGUACCCAUGCGUGUUUCCGUGUAAGAACACAACAGAUUUUAAACCGUUUAAAGGGGCACAGCCCUGUUGUCACCAACAGGCCCCAUGUUGUGCUGCUGCAGAUUUCUCCACCUCCCCAACUCCCGGCAGCCCCUGUCCUCGCCCCUGCCUCUGUGUGACCGACUCUUGGAUCCCCGUACAAGUGGCAUCGUGCGGUAAUUUAAUUGUCCUCUGCAUCUGGCUCAUGUCACUGAGCGGAAGGACCUCUAGGUUUUCCACUUUGUUGCGGUUGGCAGGAUCCCUUCUUUUUUAGGGAACGAUGCCCCCUUGUAUGUAUGCACCGCGCUUUCUUUAUCCAUUCAUCUGCUGCUGGACACGUGGGUCACGUCCAUAUCUUGCUUAUUGUGAAUAUGGAAAAAUACAGUUUCAGUACACGAAGACACACUGCAAUGUACUCUGUUGACAGAAGGGAUAGCUGUGGCCGGGGAUUUAGCUCAGUGGUUUCGCCGCCUGCUGCGCAAGCACAAGGACCCAAGUCCUGCCCGAGGACCCCUCUUCCACCGCCCCAGCUUCAGCGGGGGGGUCCUGUCCCCUCCC